GUGCUUGCUUUGGCAGCAUAUGUACUAAAAUUGGAACAACACAGAGACGAUUAGCAUGGCCCCUGUGAAAGGAUGAUGCACAAAUUCAUGAAGCAUUCAAUAUUGUU